AACAAUAUCCUGAUGCUGAAUGAGUGGGACAUACAUGCUCCAGCAUCAGUGAUUUUGUUGC
rnacentral:pre_miRNA from 1 species